rnacentral:lncRNA from 1 species
AACUGUCUUGAGUCAUUUCUAGGGUUUCAUUCCAUCGUUCAAAUUAGGGUUAAGGUAUCCAUCAAAGCAAAACCCAAGUAAUCAUGCCGAAGAAUAAGGGAAAGGGAGGAAAGAAUAGGAAGAGAGGAAAGAACGAAGCUGAUGAUGAAAAGAGAGAGCUUGUUUUUAAGGAAGAUGGGCAGGAAUAUGCUCAAGUUCUUCGUAUGCUUGGAAAUGGACGGUGUGAAGCUAUGUGUAUUGAUGGGACUAAACGUCUUUGUCACAUACGUGGUAAGAUGCAUAAGAAAGUUUGGAUUGCCGCCGGUGAUAUCGUCCUUGUCGGACUCCGUGAUUAUCAGGCAAGAUCCGAUUUUUUUUCGAUUGAAUCUUUUUCUUAUAUGGUUUUUGCAGAUGGGAAGAAAUUAUAUUGCUUUAAUCGACCCUGUUAAAAAUUGAAAUUUUCCCUCUUUAUUUCUCGCGUCCCCUAUGAAAAAUUGAGAUUUUGAUAGACCGGAAUUGAGCGGAAAAGAGUAUAGAGGUUCAACUAGUUCAGAAUUGGGAUGAAAUUAUUGAUUGAUUGAUUGGAAACUGUGAUUUUGAUUUUUCCUUCCUGUCUUUUGAGCUGUGUUUUAUGUAUUUGUAUACCUUUUCUAAAAGUUGUGGAUUCCUCCCAAAAAAGAAUUGAGUAGAUGAUUCAUAUUUCUUGUUCGUUCACUGAUUGUAAAUUUUUUGAUAACCUUUCAAUAACGCAUGAUAUGCAUUAUUGCAAUUUGUGUAUUUGGCCAAAGCUAAUUUAGUUCCACAGUUCUUUGAUUAAAGCCUCUCUAAGGGCUGCGUACACUCUACCCUCCUCAAACCCCACUUGGGUCUACAUGGGGUAUCUUGUUGUAAUCCUUUGCUUGAAGAACAAAGAUGGUACUUUCAUUUGAUUAUUGAGUGUCACAAGAGUAUAAAUGUAAAAUCUUCAUAUUUAUUUGUAUUAUGAUUGGCUAUUUGAGUGUGCAAGUAUAAAUAUGAAGUCUUUAUACCCAGUUGUUGGUCUCAAUGGUGAAUUCUGGUUGUCCUACAUGAUGUGAUGUAGAUGGAAUUCUAGAUACAAUAGAGGAUCCGCGCAAUCUCCAAUUACCCUUAGUGCAAGUAUUUGUAAAUAUUUGAUCACUUAUCCCAAAAAAAAUAAAUGUUAAGAGUGCCAGGGAGAUCUCUGGGUUUCUAAAUGUGCCUCUUUCUCAUGUGAGGAUCUUCUCUGUAAUGUUUUACUUGGGGGAUUAAUCUACAUUGGGUUACUUGUUUAUGUUUUCUCAGUUCUUAUAUAAUGUGAACUUGGAUUCUCUUUAAUUGUUUUCUCUAAACUUUCCUAUUUGGGUUUUUGCCAGGAUGACAAGGCUGAUGUUAUUCUGAAGUAUAUGCCAGAUGAGGCAAGGUUGUUGAAGGCAUAUGGGGAGUUGCCAGAGAACACUAGGCUCAAUGAGGGUAUUGCUAAUUUGGAUGAAGAAGAUGAGAAUGCUGCUGAUGACUACAUUGAGUUUGAAGACGAAGACAUCGACAAAAUCUAAAACUCCUUAUCUAAACAGUGCUGUCACUGGGGGUUCCUGUUGGCCUCACAAAUAUUUCCUUAAGAGUUUGAGUUCAAUACAAAAAGAAAGAGAGAGACCUUAUAUGUAC